CCGCAUAGUAAAAAAUAAAAAUAGCUCGCACAUUUUUCCAACUAAAUUGUACAACUAAUUAAUUGGACACCAAUCGUUUAAGAACCGCAAUUCCUUUCU